rnacentral:rRNA from 1 species
AUUGAACGCUGGCGGCAGGCCUAACACAUGCAAGUCGAGCGAGCGGCGGACGGGUGAGUAAUAUAUGGGGUUCUGCCCGAUAGAGGGGGAUAACUACUGGAAACGGUUGCUAAUACCGACUAAUAACGGAUCAAUCCAUUUGGGGUUAGUUAGUAGGUGGGGUAAAGGCUCACCUAGGCGACGAUCUCUAGCUGGUCUGAGAGGAUGAUCAGCCACACUGGUACUGAGACACGGCCCAGACCCCUACGGGAGGCAGGAGUGGGGAAUAUUGCACAAUGGGCUCAAGCGUGAUGCAGCCAUGCCGCGUGUAUGAAAAAGGCCUUAGGGUUGUAAAGUACUUUCAGCGGGGAGGCGUUACCCGCAGAAGAAGCACCGGCUAACUCCGUGCCAGCAGCCGCGGUAAUAC